rnacentral:rRNA from 1 species
UACGUAGGGGGCAAGCGUUGUCCGGAUUUAUUGGGCGUAAAGAGCGUGUAGGCGGCCUGACAGGUCUGCUGUGAAAACUCGAGGCUCAACCUCGAGAUGUCGGCGGAAACCGUCUGGCUAGGGUCCGGAAGAGGAGAGUGGAAUUCCUGGUGUAGCGGUGAAAUGCGCAGAUAUCAGGAAGAACACCUAUGGCGAAGGCAGCUCUCUGGGACGGUACUGACGCUGAGACGCGAAAGCGUGGGGAGCAAACAGG